rnacentral:rRNA from 1 species
UGAGGAAUAUUGGACAAUGGGCGCAAGCCUGAUCCAGCCAUGCCGCGUGCAGGAAGAAGCAUCUAUGGUGUGUAAACUGCUUUUGUACGGAGCGAAAAGGUCUGCCCUAAUACGGUGGGCUCAUGACGGUACCGUAAGAAUAAGCACCGGCUAACUACGUGCCAGCAGCCGCGGUAAUACGUAGGGUGCGAGCGUUAAUCGGAAUUACUGGGCGUAAAGCGUGCGCAGGCGGUUUGCUAAGACCGAUGUGAAAUCCCCGGGCUCAACCUGGGAACUGCAUUGGUGACUGGCAGGCUAGAGUAUGGCAGAGGGGGGUAGAAUUCCACGUGUAGCAGUGAAAUGCGUAGAGAUGUGGAGGAAUACCGAUGGCGAAGGCAAUCCCCUGGACCUGUACUGACGCUCAUGCACGAAAGCGUGGGGAGCAAACA